rnacentral:rRNA from 1 species
UACGGAGGGUGCGAGCGUUGUCCGGAAUCACUGGGCGUAAAGGGCGCGUAGGCGGCUUUUCUAAGGGUGCGGUGAAAGCCCGGGGCUUAACCCCGGGUCGGCCGUGCCGACUGAAAAGCUGGAGCACUGUAGAGGCAGGUGGAAUUCCGGGUGUAGCGGUGGAAUGCGUAGAGAUCCGGAAGAACACCAGUGGCGAAGGCGGCCUGCUGGGCAGUUGCUGACGCUGAGGCGCGACAGCGUGGGGAGCAAACGAGG